UUUAACCAUAUUAGCAAGACAGCAAAAGACUGAGCUGCACAAACUCUUCCAUACUGCUCUCAUAGGUACCCAGGGAGAAAGGGCCCAUGCAGCUCAGGACACAGAACCUGCCUCAGAGACAGGAAGGAUGAGUUAAGAUAAGGCAGCAGGAAUACCUUAGGCUGGAGGAAUUGACCUAUUUCAUUGCAGCUGAGCAAGAAUCUCAGCCCAUGCAGGCCCUUCCUUUCCUACAGCCUACUUUUUUGAUCCUCCUAAAUUUGUUACCUGUGUUACACUAUUAUUUACCCCAAGUUUACUUAUUUACUUUGCUAGUAAAAGCUAGCUACACAAGGGUUUGUGUACAUUUUUUUUCAACUGGAUACAAUCAUUGUGAGUUUCCAAAGUCACCACAGUAUAAUCUACCACACACAAAAUUCAGGAGUGCAACUUCUCCGAAUUAUUCAGUGAUAUAAAUUCUUGGAACAUGAGAAUGUUGUCAUACAUGUGGGAGCAUGGCUACACAUAGAUAACACCUGGCAGCCUCAGAAGACUUGCAAUGGCAAGUUUUUUUUUAUUGCUUUCAUUAUCUCAAUUCUGCGUAUGGGAUGUUGCUGGAAAUCAUAUGAGUUCCUGAAGGUCAGCUCCUCUGCUUGUAAAUGUGUUUAAGAGUUUCACUUUUGGAUUGCUGGAAAAUAAAAGGGAGGUACUGCUCAGUCAACUUUUGCUCUACAAAAAAUUCAUGUCUAUGGAAAUAAUUUUCAUCACUUAUACUAAUUUAUAACUGUCAUGUCCUCCGUUUACAAGGAUAGCUUCCUGGCAUGAAGUAUUUCUUCUUUGAACAUACUCGCCUGACAAAUGAAACAAUCUCAGCAACUCCGGCAUGACAAAAAAAGAAAGCCUCAGCUGCAGCUAGAAUUCAGAAAUAGAUAUGCAGCACCAAGAGAUAUUGUGCACUAUUAAAGGAUUCUUGGAAUGAGUGCAGGACUGGAAGUGAAUCCCCUGCCAUUUAUCAAUCCCCUAUUACUAAAGGCCACAUUCCAGAACUACUCUCAGAACUAGCUACAGGUUAUUAAUUAGUAGUCACUACUCUAUAAAUUAGAAUCAAGGGACCAACAGGAGCCCAGGCACUGUGGCACAGGCUGGAGCCCCCCGAGCCCAUUUCCCAAAAGGUCUCUGUGCUGCCCAUGCCCGGAUCAGCCACGGCUCUGCCCAGUCCCACCGCUGAACCAGCGCAGCAGAAAAAGCUGCCAGCAGCAGUGUGUGUUUGUAUAAACCAGGAAGAGAUGGCAAUAUCCAGGGAAGAAGAAAGGAAGAGGAAGAUGAGGAAAGCAACACAUGAGGUGAUGCAAAUUCCAUCAAGCUUGAAAGAACCUGUCAAGUCCUUAUCCUGCUAUAGAUAAGUUGCUAUAGUUAACUGAGCUGAUCCACCUUGCUGGUAAACUGAAUCCAAUUCAAUUGCAGUGCUGUUUGUAUCCAGGCUGAUGUGUGUGUCUGGCUGUCUCUAGGACAUACAUCAGGAAAAUAAUGGAAAGCACCUGAUAGCAUCAGUCAGAAAAAGUGGAUGUCAAAGGGUAAAGGAGUGGAGUUCAGCUGCAUCUCCAGCCUGGCUUUGAAAGACACAUAUAACCACAGUGCUUCAUGUAAUUUAAGGUCCACAGGUCUCUCCUACCACUGCCAACACAGACAAGACUCCAGCAGAACAGAAGCCCUGAAAUCAUGGAAAGCCAGCAAGGUCUGCAAGAAUGAUUUGCCAAGAGACAGAAAGCAGCACUGAUACUUUUUUCCUUCAGUUCAGAGAGAGAUGCAGAAAAAGGACAAGGAAGUACCGAAAAAAAAAAAGAAAAAAAAGUACCUGAGUCAUAAAAGCUGUUUUUUGCUCACAUGGAAUUAUUUUAAAGUAACUGCAGCUUAAAAAAGAAAAAAACAUCUUUUCUGCUGUGCUUGCAAAAGAGCUCCAGAUUUUCUGCAAGAGAGAAAGCAGAUGACGGGGGGAGCUGUUCUUUUAAGAAAAAUGUCAUUGGCACAAACAGCUGGCACUUAGUGACGUGUUAUUUAUAUGUGCAGUUGCUCGUGUUUUUUAACAGAUAAGAAAGCAUUAUCUCAUUUGUGAUUCAGGAGCCAACUGUGCCUGAGAACUGUCUCACUCGUGGGGAUCUGGCGGUUCAUGCUGCAAAAUGAUUAACACAUCAUAAACAGACCUGGCUGAAUCCUGGCCUUUGUCAUCCAGAGGACUUUACUCAAGAAAACACCAAUGGGAUGGGGUAGGAAGGAUGCACGGAGAGGUGGUCAGCAUGGAGAUUACCACCAGAACUGUACUUGCAGGGGGGCUGCUCACAAAGAUGGAAAUGAAUCCAUUUUAAGGGCAGCUGAGAAUGAGCUGGUAGGAGCUUCCACUUCCAGGGAGGGCAAGAUAAGGGGAAAACCAGGGCAUGCUCAUGCACUGGCAUUCACUCCUGCAGUAAUGCUGCACAUGGCACAGAGUUAGAACAAUUCAUACUAUAGACCAUGAUUUUCUCUGGUCGUGUUUUCCAGAGAACUGGGCUGGGUCUAGUACCCCUGUGAGUACAGGGGAGUUUUUGUACUCCUCUUUAGUAGGAACAAAGACAACUCAAGGUGGCUUCAAAAUCCGUCAUGCCUAGAAGUGUCUCUGCAGCUCUGGAAGCUGGCAGCUGGAUUGAGACCCCCGUAUGUGUCACACUGAACAACAGCUUCCUGCUUUGCCUUUGGGCUUUUAUUAAAAAAUACAAGAGAAAAAUGAUUGUGUCUUUAGUGCUUUCAGAGAAAUCCCUUGAACUUCAGCUGAUGCACAGGGAAAAGCUAUGGACAGGCUCUGACUGGGUUAUUGUUCCUUUUGCCUGUGGACAGCCCCACGCUGCCUUUUCUGUCCCAACAAAGAUCCCUUUGGUGACCCUUUAUGGCUGCUGUACAUCCAGUUAUGGAUGAAAUGUGAAAUAUUCUCCUUUUUUCCCCCCCAAGGAGUACAGGCAUGCAGCUUAAGAAAAAUAAGUGAAAAUACAUAUUUUAACUUUGUUUCUAAUCUGAAACCAUAUAUUCUUAAAUAUGCAUACAUCAGCAGAAACAUCAGGUAAGGGCUCCCACUCUAAAACAAAGAGAAACAUGCACUUUGAGCCCUCAUAUGAAAUUGCAGUAAAAGCCCAACCCAGUAAUUAUUUUCCUUGAUUUUCAGCCAGACGAGGCACAAGACAAAUAAGUCAUCAAGGACAAAUAAAAGGAGGUUCAUUCAUCGCACUCAGGGCUGGAAUCUUUAAUGGUCACCAAAUGAACUAAGAUAACUAAGUAACCAUUGUAAAUAUUAAUCUUUAAAGGAAAACAAUACUCCCAACAACAGGAAGCCUGAUAAGACAUUGGAUGUGGCCAUCAGUGUUAUGGAGUCUCUCUAAUUUCCUUAGUUUUUUCUUAUGCCUGUAGAGGGAUCAGGAAGGGGACCAUAUGGUAUCUCUCAAAGGAAGUAAAUUAACAUUAUUAAUAGCUAAUGUGGGAGAGGUGAAACAGUGAUUGUUCGUUCUAGUUGUUAUUGUGCUUUUGUUGGUGGGGAAGCCUGCCUGCUAGUAAGCUUAAGCACUCAAGCCAAAUUCAAAAUCUUGUAUUUAUAAACAGAGAUCUGAUAACAGUUGCCUAAGCAUCCAUGAUGCUUUGCCAGCGCACGCACAUCGAGCUGAUCCGAAGGGCCUGUGUCCUGGGGUUUGACCCAGGAGUUAGCUCACACAGAGGAGAGCUCAGGCUUUGGUCCCUGUCCCCAAAUAACGCCUCACAAGGACUCUCACAUUCUCCUUUGUGUUGGUUUAGUUUGAAGCAGAAGGACAAGGAUGGGUAGAUCUGCACUACUGAGGGACACAGUUUGUCCUCUGGCAUCCACUGAGGCAGUGGAUCAAGGUGCCACAGAGGAGGUGGGUUCUCACAGGCAGUGGUCACUCUGUGGGACAUCUACUUUUGAGCCCAUAGUGUUGGCACAGCUGGUUUCCAAGGGCUGCUCAGCAGGGUGCUAUGGAAGUGGCAGUAUUAUUUUUUGGGAAGCAGUGAUAACUAAGUGCUGUAUUAGGAUUGACUGGUCACUUGAAUGAAUACAUCGGAGUCCUGGGAUCCCUUGCACUUUGUCUGCACCACAAGAAUUCACCUUUCUUGGGUCUCUGCUUUUUUCUUGCAUAUACUUAGUGGGUUGUAUUUCUUCACUGUAAAUAAUACUGCCACUUAAGUUAUAUGUUGUGUCUACUUGAAAAGGUGAGACCCUGAUCUCAAACUCAUCUGUUUGUCCCAGAGCACCUGAAAGCAUAAAAUGCAUUUCUCAUUUUUUUCAAGAGUUCCUAUUUCUACUUCCUUCCCAAUAAUUAAAGCCUGAGGCAAUUUCUAGCUGGCCUUGCAGAAGUGGACUACAUGACACCUUGCAUGUUGAGACAAUCUGCAAAAUAAAUUUGACAGAUUUUUAAUUCAACUUGAUGAGCACUGAGUCUUCAUACCAAUUGUGCCUCAUGGAAUAGAUGCUUGUGUUCAAGAUGAGCUGCUGUGCCAGACUCACCUCCAUUCUGCAUCUCCCAUGUACCAACUAUAUGACCACAACUUACACCUGCAAGCAAAAAGGAAGAGAAAGGCUCCAUCACUGUGUCACCCUCUCAGGAGCCAAAUUCAGCUCUGGUUAUGAGGAAUUUUGUACUCAGGGCUCUAGAGAUUGAUAAUAACUGAAUUCCAGUCACAAAGCACACUUUUACAGCUCUUAGUCCACUCCUCUGUUGUGCUGCAAACUGAACUCCCAGCCUGGAAAAUUUUCUGCAAUGUGAGCCUAAAGGGAAGUUUCCUUCAACUUGCUCUAUGUUGUCAGUAUAGCUUUGUCUCCAGAACUUUACAAUUUUCCAGCAUGCCUGUCUGCUGCCAAAUCCUUCCCUUGACACAACCACAGAAUAAAAAAAUCAAUUGCUUUCCUCAUUUGAACGUCCAACAAGCCACAGUGGCUUUCUUAACUACUGCCUUCUAGGAAGAAGCACAGAAAGUAGUCCUCAGUCAUGCCCACUGAACAACCAUAGGAAAGAGCCUGAUUUAAUUUUAUCUUGUAUCAGCACAGUAGACCUCUGAUAUUACCUUGAAUAAUGCCUCUAACUGGGUACCUCAGCAAGCUGUUGGAUCCUUCAAAGUGCCACCAUUCCUCUCCUCCACACAGGACAGCAAGCCAUUCUUCUCCUCUGCUAACCUAGGACCUGGGGAUUGCUGCCUCACCAUCUACAUUUAGCCAGAACAAAUGCAAAAAAACCCACAGAGUUUUGGAGCUCCCAAACCAACAGUAACUUUGGUACAGCAGAUGCUGCUAUAAAGGAACCUGGUGGCUACAACUGGGACACUGGUGUUUUUUUCAUAUGACCUCAUGUCGUCACUCACUAUCUAAUCUGUAUCAAAAGAACAAGGCCACAAUGUGCAUACUGUCACUAUUUCCCUGUGCCUUGGACUUCUACAUUCUAUGGACAUCUGAGCCUUUUUUCUGCAGUUACUGUACUCAUCAGGAGGUAUGAGGUUAUCUGUCAGUAUGUCUUCAUUCAUAUAUGCAAAAACUUGCAGGUGAAAAACUGGUGAAUUUGGAUUAGCCUUGAAUUCUGGGGCGAAGUUGAAGAAGUUGCAAACAAAACAAAUACAGUCAUCAGUCAGCUCUCAGAUUAUGACAAUAAUGGGGAGAAAAAAAAUUAGCCUAUUCAGUAGAUCGAUGGAUCUAUUGAUCUGUCUGGGGAGAACAUAAAUAAUGGAACAUAUGCCAAGCACAUGUGAAUAAAAGGAACAGAGUAAUCCAUCUCCAAAUGGCACUUGCUGAUUUGUUGAAUGUAUAAAAUACGCUCUUACAAUCUAUUGAUUGUCAUGGAAUUGGAUCAAAGCAUUGAUCUCCUUGCAUUGGCACUGCUCUGGCCAGGGCCUAAAAGACCAAAAUAUAUGACAAAUCCCAGCUAAGAAUCUUUUAGAUUCUAUUGCCUCUGUCAUUCUCACUCAGAGGGUUUUUGGUGCAUUCACUUAUGUUUCUCCAGAACCUCUGAGUUAUCUUUAAUCAAGACUUAUCUGUUGAUGACAAACUGCAUUCUGUCAUUCAGAUGUCCUACUCCUGUCCCAGGAAUGCAGCUAGAUUAAAGAUUGCCUUGUCCCAGGAAGACUGUGAGAUCUUAUUCCAUUCUCGUGUUACAUCUUGGCUGGGCUCCUCACAGUCUUUGCUGACAGCUUUAACAAGCAGGGCCAUGAAUUUAUUGCAGCUUAAUUUGAAUUUAUCUGCAAAAGAUGCCACCUGAGACUAAACAUUUGUGUAUCAUUUUGCCUGACUUUAGAACCCAUCAACUCUCUCCCCAGGAAAGUGGUGUAUUGAUAUUAACCAUUCCUCUGCUCAUGCUUAUUGCCAUUCACUGAUCCUCUGCAAUGGCAAACAUUGCUCCAGGCUCAUCCUUUCCCUUUGCUCCUGGUGGACAGAUUUAGUGAUCUGAGUGAGGGCAGAGAGCAUACUAAUUAAAUUCAGAUAUUGAAUCUAAAUCAGGAGGUGCUGCAAAUGCCAGGGAAGCAGGGAAAACACAGUUCAAAAGGAAUUCAUAGCCCCUGGGACUAAAUGGAAAAAUCUGUCAGAAUGCAAACAGAAAUGUUUGGGUAAAGAGAAAUAACAUGAGAGAUACUUUCACAACAGAAUCACUGCAAAAUUUUGAUGUUAAAUGGAUUGUAGAAAGUAAAUCAGAUCAAAGCUUCAAGUAUAAUAUGGCAUUAAUGAAAACACAUGAUUCCUUCAUCAUUAUCCUUCAUCAGAGGCAGAACACUUUUCUAUAUUCAAUUUACUCCCAGGUUGCUACAGGCCACAACUGCAUCCAUAAAAGCCAAAGCAUAAAAGGAAAAUCAAAAGUGAUUUCUAAGGAUAAAUCUUAAGGAUUAAAUGUGAGUGACACAGCCAAAUGGAUGGGGAGGGAGUAAAAAUAUUGGUAAGAACCUGCUAGGAAAACUACCAUGGAUGGGAGGAAAUUGCAAAAGGUAUGGGGGCUUAGCUAGGAAAAAAAGUGAGUCAGACUUUGAAAUAAAGGAGGGUCCAGGGUUACUGUCCAGAAAAUGGUGAAGUUGAGAGGUUCACCUAAAAUACAUUCUCCAGGGACAUAAGUAUGAUGGCUGAUGUAAAUCGGAAAGGGGCUAAGGGGUAAUAGAAAGAAAACAUUUUUGUAUUUUUUAUGCAUAAAAUAGCUACAUUUUUAAGCACCAAAGGAUAAAUCCUUCGAUGGACUAGAGCACUGCAGCUGCACCAAAGUCUAUCAGUUUACAGCAGCCAAGAUCUGGCAUACCUACCAUAAUUCACACUGGGUUACAAACUGUAAUUACCCCUGCCUCCAUCCAGCAGAGUUCCCUUGCUCUUUAUAUUUGUUAGUCAAUACAUGUUUUAGGAAAACAGAGCUGAAACAGAGCUUUUGGAUUGUCUGAUCACUGUCUUACAGUGAGCCAUAACUACUCCAUCUGACAAACUGUAAAAUGACUGUGGUUGCUUGCUCCCACUGCUCUUUGUAAAAAAAUCCCCCUGUAUUACUUGUCAGAGAACCUAAGAACAAAAAUAACAAAAUCCAUUUUAAAAACCUC